rnacentral:rRNA from 1 species
AUAUCUCGAAUCAUCGAGUCUUUGAACGCAAGUUGCGCCCGAGGCUUGUCCAAGGGCAUUUCCGCUAGAGCGUCACC